ensembl:lncRNA
AUUUUUAAAAAACCAAUGUCUGUGCCCUCCCUCGAACCAAUUAAAUCAGAAGUUCUGGGAAUAGAUCCCAGGUAUAGGUGAUAUAAAAAUCUUCCCAGGUGAUUAUAAUACCUACUUUUGAGAGCAACUAUCCUUGAAGUAGAAGCAAUAGCUUAGCCAAUUGAAAUUGGGGUUGAUGGAAAUUCCAAGUGGAAGCAUCAAUGCCCACAAAGACAAGACCAUGAGAUGGAGCAGAGCACGUAGGAGAACGGCUCACACAUGUGACAGCAGAGAUCAAGAACUGUGAAGGGUCUAAGAUUUUUACCCUGUUGAGAACCAACAAGAGAGCCUACUCAGGUUUCAUGGAUGUUGGCAUAAGACAUACGACCCCUAGAUCAGAAACCAGAGCAUUAUAACUCACAGCUUAGCAGAAUCAAGGAGUGGAAAGUGCCAGGGCAGAUUUCUGCAUGAACUUACCUGUCAGGUGGACAAAGAAUUCUCUGUGCAUCCUUUAAGGCCCAGACGUAGCACUACCUCUUCAUGAUCCAUGUUGAUAAACAGAACUCCCAUGCCAAGAAUAGUGCAUUGGGUGAGAGGAUUUCAUGGAGGCAUCUUUUUGGAUUCCACAACGAGGGCCAAGCAGCAUAAAGUCAAGAGGUUGCAUGCCAGUUUCUUAAAUGGUCACUGGGAAACUGUAAGAUCCUGUUUAUUCACUAAAUAUAGUUCUUAAGAACAUUAAUCUAAGCCUGAAAGAUGAAUACAUCUGGGUCCACUGCUCCCUUGCGGUGCUAUUUAGUUACUCUGUCACUUAAAAAUGGCUCAGGCAAUGAAGUUCAAAGACUCCUUCUCUUUCCACUCCCACCCCUUUAUACAUCAUAUAAUCUAGCAAUGUCAUGAUUUUUUGACUGACUUGUGGCUCAUUUGUGUUGAAUAACCAGGUACCGAUUAUCUAGUUUCCUGUCUCCACAGGAAAUCACACCUUCUGGAAAAAUCAAUUUGUUCAAUAUCUUUUAGUCAUUUAUAAUCAGAUUAAGAAAUAAAAUAGAUUUUUGGUAAAGACUCAAUAAUUCUUAUUUUAUUAAUCUGAAACCCAGGUAUUCCCAUAAAACUGCUAAGCAAUGAUAUCCAUUUCCUAGGAAAGAAUUAACCAAUUUUCUGAAAUGUUCUACAAGAUCAGUAGCAUAAUACUACCAACAUUAUCUUAACUAAUUGAAGCUAGAUUGCACCUGUCAAAAUAAAUUAAUAAAAUAUAUUUGAGAAUGCAGUUUCUAUGAUUUCUAAUGUACAUAUUCAUUGAAUUUCUAAUUUACAUGUUUUGAUAACCCACUAUGGACCUCUCAGGGUCUCACUUCUAGUUGUCAAAGUUCCUGUGGAGAUCAUUAAACACAAGUUUGCUUUCUAUUUUGAACUUAAUAAAACCUGUUAGUCCUCUUUGUUCAAAGGAGGCUUUCAUUCAAUUCCAUUACUUCUUGUUUUUUCUAUUUAGUGUUGCAAAAUAAUUGUAAUAUGCUUAGGUGUGAUUAUACCUCAUUAGGACAAGUUCUUUUUUAUCAUUUAUAUAGUUAGGUAGGUAUCUCAACAAAAUGAAGCAGGCAUGUGAUAACCCCCAUAAAGAAGAAGAAAUCCCAUAACAGGUACAUAUUGCAUUUCUUAAGAAUUACAUUUUCUUCUACUGAGUGUAAGCUCCAUGAGGAUAGCAGCUGUUUUUAGCUUGUUCAUGACUGUAUACCAUUGCCUUGUCCAGUGCUGGAUAUAAUAAGUGCUCAGAAAAAUUAUCAAAUAAAUGACGUUGUUAACCUUG